UACACCGCUGACCGUUGAAAUACGGCUUACUCGCCAUAAUUGUAAAGAUGAGUGGAAAUCGGUCCGAUACAGGGCACCCGGUAAAGCGGUCGCACCUGCCGGGUGCAGGAGAUAGAA
rnacentral:ncRNA from 1 species